UACGUGGUUACUGCUGAUGUGUAAAGCGUAUCAACUCUGAGAGAGCGAAUUUGUAGAGCCCUAAUUCUGCAGCGAAGGCAAGUCUGUGAUUUUGAAAAUGGGGAAGAUUGGAAUCUGCCCUCUUCAGACUUAAAACAGGGGAUCUUAAUCAGGCUCCUCUUUCCUGGUGGAUGGAGGUGGGGAAAGGCACGAUUCUAUAGACCAAGCCUGGC
rnacentral:lncRNA from 1 species